AACGAACGCUGGCGGCAGGCUUAACACAUGCAAGUCGAGCGCCCCGCAAGGGGAGCGGCAGACGGGUGAGUAACGCGUGGGAAUCUACCUAGCUCUACGGAAUAACCCAGGGAAACUUGGACUAAUACCGUAUACGUCCUUCGGGAGAAAGAUUUAUCGGAGUUAGAUGAGCCCGCGUUGGAUUAGCUAGUUGGUGGGGUAAUGGCCUACCAAGGCGACGAUCCAUAGCUGGUCUGAGAGGAUGAUCAGCCACACUGGGACUGAGACACGGCCCAGACUCCUACGGGAGGCAGCAGUGGGGAAUAUUGGACAAUGGGCGCAAGCCUGAUCCAGCCAUGCCGCGUGAGUGAUGAAGGCCCUAGGGUUGUAAAGCUCUUUCACCGGUGAAGAUAAUGACGGUAACCGGAGAAGAAGCCCCGGCUAACUUCGUGCCAGCAGCCGCCGUAACAC
rnacentral:rRNA from 1 species